UACGUAGGUGGCAAGCGUUGUCCGGAAUUAUUGGGCGUAGAGCGUGCGUAGGUGGUUUGUUAAGUCUGCUGUGAAAGCCCCGGGCUCAACCUGGGAAUGGCAGUGGAUACUGGCAAGCUAGAGUGCGGUAGAGGGGUGUGGAAUUCCCGGUGUAGCGGUGAAAUGCGUAGAGAUCGGGAGGAACACCAGUGGCGAAGGCGGCACCCUGGACCAGCACUGACACUGAGGCACGAAAGCGUGGGGAGCAAACAGG
rnacentral:rRNA from 1 species